UUAGAAUUAGAAAAUUUGAGUUGAAUAGUUGUUGGUUCUAGGUCAACAAUUUUGAGAGUAGCAUUGUUGAUUUCGACGAUCUGAUCGACGGCAUAGGAGUGGCGCGAUCCGACGAUCUGAUCGGCGGCAUAGGAGCGGCGCGCUCAAGGUAGCGGUGGCAUAGGAGCGAGGCGAUGAAGAUAUUCUUCGAAAGAGGUCAAAUCUUCUCAAGAAGCAAAUUAUCCAAGAGGCAGAAUGUGCGAUUUGCAAGACUCCUACAGAAGACACUGACCAUAUCUUUAUAAAUUGCCGUUUCGUGUCUGACUUCUGGGCGAAUAUAUCUUCGCCUGCGAUAGACAUAUACCUGCAACCCCCGCCAGCAUCAAUUCCGAGGAUGCUAAACAAGAGUUUAUUUUUGUUGUGCCUUUGGAGACUUUGGAACCACAGAAACGAAGUCAUCUUCAAAUCUCUGCCACCGUCGCUUCCACGACUGCUAUCAGACUGUGUCCUUGAAGCAAACCUCUGGUCCUAUCGUCUAAAGCCUUCAGAUAGAUAUGUAAUAGGCAACUGGAAAUCUCUUUUUUUAAUUCCUUAAUGUUCUGCCCCCUCCCUUUUUCCUGCCCUUCUUGUUUUAGCCCCCCUCUACUUCCUGUAAUAACUAUUUCCUUUAAUUAAUAAUAUUUUCAGGUGG